CGGGUGAGUAAUGCUUGGGAAUCUAGCUUAUGGAGGGGGAUAACUACGGGAAACUGUAGCUAAUACCGCGUAGUAUCGGAAGAUGAAAGUGUGGGACCUUCGGGCCACAUGCCAUAGGAUGAGCCCAAGUGGGAUUAGGUAGUUGGUGAGGUAAAGGCUCACCAAGCCGACGAUCUCUAGCUGGUCUGAGAGGAUGACCAGCCACACUAGGACUGAGACACGGCCCAG
rnacentral:rRNA from 1 species